GAUUUCUUGUGGAGACCAUUUCUUGGUCAAAAAUCCGUAGGUGUUAGCCUUCGGUAUUAUUGAAAAUGGUCGUUCAUGGCUAUUUUCGACAAAAAUGGGGGUUGUGUGGUCAUUCAUCAUUGACCAGAGGCUUGUUCACCUCAACCCACAUAUGUUUCCUUGCCAUAGAUCACAUUCUUGGAUUUCUAGUGGAGACCAUUUCUUGGUCAAAAAUCCGUAGGUGUUAGCCUUCGGUAUUAUUGAAAAUGGUCGUUCAUGGCUAUUUUCGACAAAAAUGGGGGUUGUGUGGCCAUUGAUCAUUGACAAGAGGCUUGUUCACCUCAACCCACAUAUGUUUCCUUGCCAUAUAUCACAUUCUUGGAUUUCUAGUGGAGACCAUUUCUUGGUCAAAAAUCCAUAGGUGUUAGCCUUCGAUAUUAUUGAAAAUGGUCGAUCAUGGCAAUUUCUGACAAAAAUGGGGGUUGUGGGGCGAUAGAUCAUCGACCACAGGCUCGUACACCUCACCCCACAUAUGUUUCCUUUCCAUAGGUCACAUUCUUAGAUAUCUGGUGGAGACCAUUUCUUGGUCAAAAAUUUGUAGGUGUUAGCCUUCGGUAUUAUUGAAAAUGGUCGUUCAUGGCUAUUUUCGACAAAAAUGGGGAUUGUGUGGCCAUUGUUCAUUGACCAGAGGCUCAUUCACCUCACCCCACAUAUGAUGUCUUGCCAUAGAUCAUAUUCUUGGAUUUCUGUUGAGACCAUUUCUUGGUCAAAAAUCCGUAGGUAAUAGCCUCAGUAUUAUUGAAAAUGGUCGUUCCUGGCUAUUUUCGAUAAAAUGGGGGUUGUGUGGCCAUUGAUCAUCGACCAGAGGCUCAUACACCUCUCCCCACAUAUGUUUCCUUGCCAUAGAUCACAUUCUUGGAUUUCUGGUGGAGACCAUUUUUGGUAAAAAAUCCAUUGGUGUUAGCCUUUGGUAUUGUUGAAAAUGGUCGUUCAUGGCUAUUUUUGACAAAAAUGGGGGUUGGGUGGCCAUCGACCAUCGAACAGAGGCUCGUACACCAGACCCCACAUAUGUUUCGUUGCCAUAGGUCACAUUGUUGUAUUUCUAGCGGGGACCAUUUCUUGGUAAAAAAUCCGUAGGUGGUAGCCUUCGGUAUUAUUGAAAAUGGUCGUUCAUGCUAUUUUCGACAAAAAUAGGGGUUGUGUGGCCAUUGAUCGUCGACCAGAGGCUCGUACAUAUCUACCUACAUUUGUUUCUUUGCAAUAAAUCACCUUGGAUUUCUGGUGAAGACCAUUUCCUGGUCAAAAUUUUGUAGGUGUUAGCCUUCGAUAUUAUUGAAAAUGGUCGUUCAUGGCUAUUUUCGACAAAAAUGGGGGUUGUGUGGCCAUUGAUCAUCGACCAGAGGAUCAUACACCUCACCCACAUAUUUUUCCUUACCAUAGAUCACAUACUUGGAUUUCUGUUGGAGACCAUUUCUUGGUCAAAAAUUCGUAGGUGUUAGCCUUCAUUAUUAUUGAAAAUGGUCGUUUAUGCUAUUUCAACAAAAAUGGGGGUUGUGAGGCCAUUGAUGAUCGACCAGAGGCUCAUACACCUCACCCCACAUAUGUUUCCUUGACAUAGAUCACAUUCUUAAAUUUCUGGUGGAGACCAUUUCUAGGUCAAAAAUCCAUAGGUGUUAGCCUUUGGUAUUAUUGAAAAUGAUCGUUCAUGCUAUUUUCAACAAAAAUAGGGGUUGUGUGACCUUUGAUCAUCAACCAAAGGCUUGUACACCUCACCCCACAUAUGUUUCUAUGCCAUAGAUGACAUUUUUGGAUUUUUGGUGGAGGCAAUUUAUUGGUAAAAAAUCUGUUGGAGUUAGCCUUCGGUAUUAUUGAAAAUGGUUGUUCAUGCUAUUUUCGACAAAAAAUGGGGGUUGUGUGGCCAUUGAUCAUCGACCAGAGGCUCAUACACAACACCCCACAUAUGUUUCCUUUUCAUAGAUCACAUUCUUGCAUUUCUGGUGGAGACCUUAUCUUGGUCAAAAAUCUGUAGUUGUUAGCCUUCGGUAUUAUUGAAAAUGAUCAUUCAUGCUAUUUUUGACAAAAAUGGGGAUUGUGUGGCCACUUAUCAUCGACUAGAGGCUCGUACAUCUCACCCCACAAAUGUUUCCUUGAUGUAGAUCAAAUUCUUGGAUUUUUGGUGCAGACCAUUUCUUGGUCAAAAAUCCGUAGGUGUUAGCCUUUGGUAUUAUUGAAAAUGGUCGUUCAUGCUAUUUUGGACAAAAAUGGGGUUUGUGUGGCCGUUGAUCAUCGACCAGAGGCUCAUACACCUGACCCCACAUAUGUUUCCUUGACAUAAAUCACAUUCUUGGAUUUUUGGUGGAGACAAUUUCUUGGUAAAAAAUCCGUAGGUGUUAGCCUUCGGUAUUAUUGAAAAUGGUCGUUCAUGGCUAUUUUCGGCAAAAAUGAAGGUUGUGUGGCCAUUGAUCAUCGACUAGAGGCUCGUAUACCUCACCCCACAUAUGUUUCCUUAAUAUAGAUCACAUUCUUGGUUUUCUGGUGGAGACCAUUUCUUGGCCAAAAAUAUGUUGGUGUUAGUCUUCGGUAUUUUUGAAAAUGGCCCUUCAUGUUAUUUUCAACAAAAAUGGGAGUUGUGUGGCCAUUGAUCAUCAACCAGAGGUUCGUACACCUCACCACACAUAUGUUUUCUUGACAUAGAUCACAUUGUAGGAUUUCUGGUGGAGGCCAUUUCUUGGUCAAAAAUCUGUAGGUGUUAACCUUCGGUACUAUUGAAAAUGGUCGUUCAUGCUAUUUUCGACAAAACUGGAGGUUGUGUGGCCAUUAAUCAUCGACUAGAUGCUCGUACACCUAACCCCACAUAUGUUUCCUUGCCAUAGGUCACAUUAUUGGUUUUCUGGUGGAGACCAUUUCUUGGUCAAAAAUCCAUAGGUGUUAGCCUUCGGUAUUAUUGAAAAUGGUCGUUCAUGCAAUUUUUGACAAAAAUGGGUGUUGUGUGGCCAUUGGUCAUCGACCAGAGGAUCGUACACAUCACCCCACAUAUGUUUCCUUGCCAUAGGUCACAUUCUUGGAUUUCUGGUGGAGACCAUUUCUUGGUCAAAAAUCCGUAGGUGUUAACCUUCGGUAUUAUUGAAAAUGGUCGUUCAUGGCUAUUUUCAUCAAAAAUGGGGGUUGUGUGGCCAUUGAUCAUUGACCAGAGGCUUGUUCACCUAACCCCACAUAUGUUUCCUUGCAAUAGAUCACAUUCUUGGAUUUCUGGUGGAGACCAUUUCUUGGUCAAAAAUCUGUAGGUGUUAGCCUUCGGUAUUAUUGAAAAUGGUCGUUCAUGUUUAUUUUUGACAAAAAAUGGGUGUUGUGUGGCCAUUGAUCAUUGACCAGAGGCUCGUUCACCUCACCCCACAUAUGUUUUCUUGCCAUAGAUCACAUUCUUGGAUUUCUAGUGGAGACAUUUCUUGGUCAAAAAUCUGUAGGUGUUAGUCUUCGGUACUAUUGAAAAUGGUCGUUCAUGGCUAUUUUCGACAAAAUGGGAGUUGUGUGGCCAUUGAUUAUCGAUCAAAGGCUCGAACACCUCACCCCACAUAGGUUUCCUUGCCAUAGAUCACACUCUUGUAUUUCUGGUGGAGACCAUUUCUUGGUCAAAAAUUCAUAGGUGUUAGCCUUCGGUAUUAUUGAAAAUGGUCGUUAUCCAAUUUUCGACAAAAAUGGGGGGUUGUGUAGCCAUUGACCAUCGAACAGAGGCUUGUACACAAGACCCCAUAUAUGUUUCCUUGCCAAAGGUCACAUUCUUGGAUAUCUAGUGGGGACCAUUUCUUAGUCAAAAUCCGUAGGUGUUACCUUUCGGUAUUAUUGAAAAUGCCCGUUCUUGCUAUUUGGAGAAAAAUGAGGGUUGUGUGGCCAUUGAUCAUCGACCAGAGGCUCAAACACCUGACCCCACAAAUGUUUCCUUGCCAUAGAUCACAUUCUUAAAUUUUUGGUGGAGACCAUAUCUUGGUCAAAAAUCCGUAGGUGUUAGCCUUCGGUAUUAUUGAAAAUGGUCGUUCAUGGCUAUUUUCGGCAAAAAUGGAGGUUGUGUGGCCAUUGAUCAUUGACUAGAGGCUCCUACACCUCACCCCACAUAUGUUUCCUUGUCAUAGAUCACAUUCUUUGUUUUCUGGUGGAGACCAUUUCUAGGCAAAAAAUCCGUUGGUGUUAGCCUUCGGUAUUAUUGAAAAUGGUCAUUCAUGCUAUUUUCGACAAAAAUGGGAGUUGUGAGGCCAUUGAUCAUCGACCAGAGGCUCAUACACCUCACCCCACAUAUGUUUUCUUGCCAUAGAUCACAUUCUUGGAUUUCUGGUGGAGACCAUUUCUUGGUCAAAAAUCCGUAGGUGUUAGCCUUCGGUAUUAUUGAAAAUG
rnacentral:lncRNA from 1 species